rnacentral:tRNA from 1 species
GCGGUUGUGGUGGAACGGCAGACACGAUGGCUUCAGGUGCCAUUGCACGCAAGUGUGUGGAGGUUCAAAUCCUCUUAGCCGCA